rnacentral:rRNA from 1 species
GAUUAACGCUGGCGGCGUGCAUAACACAUGCAAGUCGAACGAAGUGGCGGACGGGUGAGUCACGCGUGAGUAACCUGCCUUAGAGAAGGGGAUAGCCUUUGGAAACGAAGACUAAUACCCUAUACUCUAAGAUGGACUUGCGGGUGAUUAGUUAGUUGGUGAGGUAACGGCCCACCAAGACAGCGAUCAGUAGCCGGGUGGGGAGAGUGGAAGGGCACAUUGGGAGUGAGAAACGGGCCAGACUCUAAGGGAGGCAGCAAUGGGGAAGUUUGCAAAAUGGGGGAAACACUGAGGCAGCGACGCCGCGUGAUUUAGAAGGCCUUCGGGUUGUAAAAAUCUUUUCUAUGGGAAGCAGUACCAUAGGAAUAAGGACCGGCUAAUUACGUGCCAGCAGCCGCGGUAAUAC